rnacentral:lncRNA from 1 species
AUGGGCUCCAUUCAGCCUCCAGGAAAUGAGAGUGACCCCUGCAGGCCCAGUCUAGCUUUGCAAGGGCCCACCGAUCUGUCAAGGCCUGGGACUCCCCACCGUGGGCAAAAGCCUUUUCAGAAACAUCCAUCAGCUCAGUCUGGCUGCUCCUUUACUGCUCCCUCUGGACCACAGGCACAGAAACCUGCUGUGCUGGUAAGAGCUGUUGCCAGGAUGGUGCAGAGUGCCAAGCCAAUGGCUGUUGCCAGGGGGAUGCCCAUUGCUGCAAGGCAGCCAAAAGGUGCCAAGUCUAAGAUAUCUGCCAAAACUCCACCAGCGCCAGGGAUGCUGGGAAGAAAUGUGGGUCAGAAGGUCAAGGUGCAGCCCCAAACUCCUCCAGCUACUCAAAAACAUCCCGCAAAGCCACUAAACAUGACAAACAACAAAGAGUGUGAGGAGGAGGAGUUCUACAUGGAGAGGCUGCAGGAGCAGAUGCGACUGAGGGAGCAGGUUAUCAAACAGAAGGAACGGAUGAGAUCUAGACGGGCUGUAAACAAGAAGCAUCUGCGGCAGGAGCACUUCCAAACUGAUAGUUCCACCGUACACUGGAACAAAAACCAAAAAUCAACAGAAACAGCCGUGCAUCUUGGGUUCCUGCCCUCAAAAGGUUACGCACCUGCAGCCCUUCCAUAA